UAAUAAUAAUAAUAAUAAUAUAUGAUGAUAUGACAGGGUAAGCCCAGCAGUAGAUAUCUCAAGCUUGUUUUGUCCUAAAGAGUGAAUGGAAUUCUCUUGACAUAGCAAAAGACUAUGGUCAUUCACAGCUUUGGAUUUUUUGUAUGGUUCCUUGACAUAUGAGCCAUCAAGUGUGUUGGCAAUGAGAGAUGGGCAAAAGCUUUAGCUCCCCAUCAGAUCUGCCUUCACUUGAUAGUAGAACUCAUGAUCCAACAAGCCCUUUAUAGCGAGCGUAAGAGAUUAUAAGUAAGAAAAUCACAGCGCAGAUGAUGCCGCUAACGGCUACCACCCAUUUAAACAUGUAACCAUGUUCCUCAUUCCAAGAAUAUGGAAUGUUCAUCCCGAAAAUUCCAGCGAUCAAAGAGUAGAUAGACAAACAGACAGUUCCUGAACUGAGAAAGAGUUCUAACUGAAUGAGCUGAUUUCGAUGAUUGUCCAGCUGAAUGUUUAUGUAAUCUUCUGUGUUGUCAAUAUAUUCUCGUAGCGUAGUUAGUUUAUUAAAUGUGCCAUCAAUUUGCAUGAAGUAAGCCUCCAAUAGCAUUUCAAGCUCUUCAACAUCAUUCUCAUCCCCCCGAACUGUUGCAAUACUUGCUCUACUAGCCCUAGAUAUUUUUGAGCCAAUGGUGGGUGAGGCAAGAAACCAACUGGCUGCACCUGAUCCACUUACAGGUGAUGCACCAGCCAGUUUUCUGGACAAAUAGAGGUCAGCCAUGUCAUCAU
rnacentral:misc_RNA from 1 species